rnacentral:lncRNA from 1 species
GACAGUUUUGCAGAUGAAAUUUUGAUCUUCAUCAUAGUAAUUUAUUGUCAUUGUUAUGUUCACCUGUAAAAAGUUGCCUAUUGCUCGAGGCAGGUGGAUCACCUGAGGUCAGGAGUUUGAGACCAGCCUGACCGACAUGGUGAAACCCCAUCUCUACUAAAAAGGGAAGGCAGAGGAGGAAAAUGGGGCAUGGUGGCACAUGUAGGUCACAUAGGCAUCAUGCGUCAGCAAGCUCCGUUCUGUCCCCCAUGGAAGCAUCUUUGAAUUCCUGAUGUU